CCUACGGGGGGCAGCAGUAGGGAAUUUUCGGCAAUGGGGGGAACCCUGACCGAGCAACGCCGCGUGAACGAAGAAGUUAUUCGUAAUGUAAAGUUCUUUUAACAGGGAAGAAAGAGAAAUUUGACGGUACCUGAAGAAUAAGCCCCGGCAAACUACGUGCAAGCAGCCGCGGUAAUACGUAGGGAGCGAGCGUUAUCGGAAAUUAUUGGGCGAAAGGGGUGCGUAGAUGGCAUAGUAAGUCUGUUGUAAAAAUGCUGGGCCAAACCCAGUAGGGCAAAAGAAACUGGAAGGCUAGAGUAUGGCAGAGGCAGGUGGAACUACUGGUGUAGCGGUGAAAUGCGUAGAUAUAAGGAAGAACACCAGUGGCGAAGGCGGCUUGCUGGAUCGAAACUGACAUUGAGGCACGAAAGCGUGGGGAGCAAACAGGAUUAGAUACCCUUGUAGUC
rnacentral:rRNA from 1 species